rnacentral:ncRNA from 1 species
UCCAGCGCAAGGUGGGAUCUGAAGGAAGUCAGUGGCAAAGCCUUGGUCUGAGGUACACGAAUUACAUUAUGAUGGUGAUGGCAAUGUACGAAGCUUAGUUACAUAUCUUCAAGUGGUGAAGUUUUACUAUAAUUACGCUUAUGACCUAAAGGGCAACAGGCUUCAAAAAGCAAGUUCGAAUC